ensembl:misc_RNA 7SK 7SK RNA
GCACAGAUCUGGCUGCAACAUCUGUCACCCCAUUGGUGUCAGGGUUGAUUUGGCUGGUCUGGCUGGCUAGGCGGGUGUUCCCUACCUCCCUCACCACUCCACGUGCGUCCCUCUUGAAGCUGCGCUCUAGGUCGAAGAGGACGGCCUUCCUGGAAUAGAGACAGACAGGUGUUCCAUUGAGGGUAUACGAGUAGCUGCGCUCUCCUGCCAGAACCUCCAAACAAGCUCUCAAAAGCACAUAAUCUCACAAAAGUGAGAAAAGGCUAGAGGGAAGAAAGGGCGUUUCUACUGAAAUCCCCUGUCUCU